rnacentral:rRNA from 1 species
AUUGAACGCUGGCGGCAUGCUUUACACAUGCAAGUCGAACGGUAACAGGCCUUCGGGCGCUGACGAGUGGCGAACGGGUGAGUAAUGCAUCGGAACGUGCCCAGUCGUGGGGGAUAACGCAGCGAAAGCUGUGCUAAUACCGCAUACGAUCUGCGGAUGAAAGCGGGGGACCUUCGGGCCUCGCGCGAUUGGAGCGGCCGGUGUCGGAUUAGGUAGUUGGUGGGGUAAAGGCUCACCAAGCCAACGAUCUGUAGCUGGUCUGAGAGGACGACCAGCAAAACUGGGACUGGGACACGGCCCAGACUCCUACGGGAGGCAGGAGUGGGGAAUUUUGGACAAUGGGCGCAAGCCUGAUCCAGCAAUGCCGCGUGCAGGAAGAAGGCCUUCGGGUUGUAAACUGCUUUUGUACGGAGCGAAAAGGCUCCCUCUAAUACAGGGGGCUCAUGACGGUACCGUAAGAAUAAGCACCGGCUAACUACGUGCCAGCCGCCGCCGUAACAC